GGGCUCGUAGCUCAACGGCAGAGCAGCGGACUCAUAAUCCGUGGGUUGGAGGUUCGAAUCCUCCCGGGCCCA
rnacentral:tRNA from 1 species